GGGGGUGAUCGGUUUCGACGACGGUUGUCGUUCCAGGAGAAGCGGGUCGAGGAUGCAAGGUCAUCUCGUCAAACGCUCCUUGCAAACCAAUAGGUGCCGAUUCCAAGCGCACCGACUUCGCCCUCGCCGCCUGAGCGAGCGUAGAAGUCCGUCAGCCCGGGGUUGCUCUCGACCCGGUUCCUGGCGUCAUCUAGAGAGCCACUGCUCGUAACCCUCGUCAUCGGGGUUGCGGGGACUUUUAGGUGACUGAGCCCGUCAGCGACUUGUCUGCGUGAUCGCUGGGGCCGAGAAAAUCUACUAGCAGACUGCACCCGGAGAAGUCCUGGUUCCGCACUGUCGGACGCGGGUUCGAUUCCCGCCACCUCCACCA
rnacentral:tmRNA from 1 species